UACGAAGGGGGCUAGCGUUGCUCGGAAUCACUGGGCGUAAAGCGCACGUAGGCGGACUCUUAAGUCGGUGGUGAAAUCCUGGAGCUCAACUCCAGAACUGCCUUCGAUACUGAGAGUCUUGAGUCCGGGAGAGGUGAGUGGAAUUCCUAGUGUAGAGGUGAAAUUCGUAGAUAUUAGGAAGAACACCAGUGGCGAAGGCGGCUCACUGGCCCGGUACUGACGCUCAUGUGCGAAAGCGUGGGGAGCAAACAGG
rnacentral:rRNA from 1 species